rnacentral:rRNA from 1 species
GACGAACGCUGGCGGCGUGCUUAACACAUGCAAGUCGAACGGAAAGGCCCUGCAUUUGUGGGGUGCUCGAGUGGCGAACGGGUGAGUAACACGUGAGUAACCUGCCCUUGACUUUGGGAUAACUUCAGGAAACUGGGGCUAAUACCGGAUAGGAGCUCCUGCUGCAUGGUGGGGGUUGGAAAGUUUCGGCGGUUGGGGAUGGACUCGCGGCUUAUCAGCUUGUUGGUGGGGUAGUGGCUUACCAAGGCUUUGACGGGUAGCCGGCCUGAGAGGGUGACCGGCCACAAUGGGACUGAGAGACGGCCCAGACUCCUACGGGAGGCAGAAGUGGGGAAUAUUGCACAGUGGGCGGAAGCCUGAUGCAGCAACGCCGCGGGCGGGAUGACGGCCUUCGGGUUGUAAACCGCUUUCGCCUGUGACGAAGCGUGAGUGACGGUAAUGGGUAAAGAAGCACCGGCUAACUACGUG